rnacentral:rRNA from 1 species
UGGCGGACGGGCGAGUAAUGUCUGGGAAACUGCCUGAUGGAGGGGGAUAACUACUGGAAACGGUAGCUAAUACCGCAUAACGUCGCAAGACCAAAGAGGGGGACCUUCGGGCCUCUUGCCAUCGGAUGUGCCCAGAUGGGAUUAGCUAGUAGGUGGGGUAAAGGCUCACCUAGGCGACGAUCCCUAGCUGGUCUGAGAGGAUGACCAGCCACACUGGAACUGGGACACGGUCCAG